rnacentral:ncRNA from 2 species
UGCAUAUGGCUCGGUGCAGGUGCGCCAGUCGCCCGGAUGCGCGGCGCACAAUGGAGGAAGACCGGUGAAAGUCCGGCGCUGUCCCGCAACGGUAACACGCCCGCGAGCGUGAAGCCCGAUACUCCGCCUGCACUGUGGCUCGUGU